rnacentral:rRNA from 1 species
CUGACGGAGCAACGCCGCGUGAGUGAUGACGGCCUUCGGGUUGUAAAACUCUGUGAUCCGGGACGAAAAGGCAGAGUGCGAAGAACAAACUGCAUUGACGGUACCGGAAAAGCAAGCCACGGCUAACUACGUGCCAGCAGCCGCGGUAAUACGUAGGUGGCAAGCGUUGUCCGGAAUUAUUGGGCGUAAAGCGCGCGCAGGCGGCUUCCCAAGUCCCUCUUAAAAGUGCGGGGCUUAACCCCGUGAUGGGAAGGAAACUGGGAAGCUGGAGUAUCGGAGAGGAAAGUGGAAUUCCUAGUGUAGCGGUGAAAUGCGUAGAGAUUAGGAAGAACACCGGUGGCGAAGGCGACUUUCUGGACGAAAACUGACGCUGAGGCGCGAAAGCGUGGGGAGCAAACAGGAUUAGAUACCCUGGUAGUCCACGCCGUAAACGAUGGAUACUAGGUGUAGGAGGUAUCGACCCCUCCUGUGCCGGAGUUAACGCCAUAAGUAUCCCGCCCUGGGAAGUACGAUCGCAAGAUUAAAACUCAAAGGAAUUGACGGGGGGCCCGCACAAGCGGUGGAGUAUGUGGUUUAAUUCGACGCAACGCGAAGAACCU